UACGUAGGGUGCAAGCGUUGUCCGGAAUUAUUGGGCGUAAAGAGCUCGUAGGCGGUUUGUCGCGUCUGCUGUGAAAACUCGGGGCUUAACUCCGGGCCUGCAGUGGGUACGGGCAGACUAGAGUGCGGUAGGGGAGACUGGAAUUCCUGGUGUAACGGUGAAAUGCGCAGAUAUCAGGAGGAACACCGGUGGCGAAGGCGGGUCUCUGGGCCGUAACUGACGCUGAGGAGCGAAAGCCAGGGGAGCAAACGGG
rnacentral:rRNA from 1 species